rnacentral:rRNA from 1 species
CCUACGGGAGGCUGCAGUGAGGAAUAUUGGUCAAUGGACGAGAGUCUGAACCAGCCAAGUAGCGUGAAGGAUGACUGCCCUAUGGGUUGUAAACUUCUUUUAUAUGGGAAUAAAAUGUUCCACGUGUGGGCUUUUGUAUGUACCAUAUGAAUAAGGAUCGGCUAACUCCGUGCCAGCAGCCGCGGUAAUACGGAGGAUCCAAGCGUUAUCCGGAUUUAUUGGGUUUAAAGGGAGCGUAGGUGGAUUGUUAAGUCAGUUGUGAAAGUUUGCGGCUCAACCGUAAAAUUGCAGUUGAAACUGGCAGUCUUGAGUACAGUAGAGGUGGGCGGAAUUCGUGGUGUAGCGGUGAAAUGCUUAGAUAUCACGAAGAACUCCGAUUGCGAAGGCAGCUCACUGGACUGCAACUGACACUGAGGCUCGAAAGUGUGGGUAUCAAACAGGAUUAGAUACCCUAGUAGUC